UACGUAGGGUGCAAGCGUUAUCCGGAAUUAUUGGGCGUAAAGAGCUCGUAGGCGGUUUGUCGCGUCUGCUGUGAAAACUGGGGGCUCAACCCCCAGCCUGCAGUGGGUACGGGCAGACUAGAGUGCGGUAGGGGAGAUUGGAAUUCCUGGUGUAGCGGUGGAAUGCGCAGAUAUCGGGAGGAACACCGGUGGCGAAGGCGGGUCUCUGGGCCGAUACUGACGCUGAGGAGCGAAAGCGUGGGGAGCGAACAGG
rnacentral:rRNA from 1 species